UUUGUACUGCACGCAUUGGGCAUCUAGCCCUUGCUUAGGAGCGAAGGCGGGCAUCUAUCCACGCGCUCCUCUUCUCCUUUUCUCCACGCGAUCCCUCUCUAUCACGCGCCGCCACCGCCCUCUCCCUUCUCAUAGCCGCCACCUCUCUCUCUCCUUGCACCGCAUCCUCUCCGCCUUGAUCCACCCGGAGGACGACGCCUGGAGAUCAGCGAUGGGCCCCUCCUUCUCCCAGCAGGUUCGUUUCCCCUCAGAGGACGAAAUCCAUGGGGAACAUGACCGGCAGGGUGGAGGCGGAGGAUGCGGCGGUGGCAUUGAAGGCGAAGACGCCGUCGUCGAGGAUGGAGGCAGGAACUCGUCGAUCUGGUUUGCACUUUGCACACGCGGUCAGCAUACUGACCGCCAGCGCCGUCGUUGGAGGUGAGGGUCAUUGUGGGCGUGCAGUGGCGAUGCGCAACUAUGCCUCGCACGGGUGGCACUGCUUCGACUUCUAUCCAGAGUUCCAGACAUAGGUAUGUGCCUGUGGAGGUUCGAUUGAUGAUUUGAUCUGGUUGGUUCGCUCAAAUCAUAAAAUUACAAGGGCCACGAUCCGGAGAUCAAGUUAAGCUGAGCACUCACAAACUGCUCCCUUUUGUUCAGUAGCGAAUAUGUUUCAUACACAAGUGGCUGCAUAUUGGUUUACUUAGAUUUUAUACAUGAUCAAUGUCUGAUUGAUUAUUAGUGGAUUUAUCUUGUCCAUUCGGUGGAUGGAUGGCGCCAGUUGAUUUAUGUUGAGCAGUAAUCAUAUCCCUGAUGAUGCUCUUUUGCAGGGACCGCACUUCUCGCUGGGUCACGGUUUCUUCGUAUGCAGAGUCGUUGCCUCUCGCCUGUUAGGUCAGUCUAUGGUGCUGAGCUUGUAAUGAGCAUCAGGAAGUUUGAGAUUGCCCUGGAGCAGCAAGCAGGUUGUGUCAAUUUGUCUUAGAGUUUAGGAAAGAGAAUUUCUACAAUUAAAGGUGUAUUAGUGUCAACCAUGUUCGAUUUUUUUCUUAAGCUCUUCCUAAGAAUCGUCUGCAUAUUUAUAAGGACUUGUUAGGGCAAUCCACGAUUUACUUCAGAAUUACGUUUCUCUUCUUGGAUAUUUUCAGUUCUGCUAUAAAACUGACUGAAGGGAGUAUCAAAAAUAAAGUUAUUUGGUUAGCCAUUUCGUGACUGCGGGAAAUACCUCAAACUUUUGGAGGCUCUUGUUUCUGUGUAUGAAGGUUUCGACAAAAAUCCUUCAUGUUUCCUUGUUAAUUCUGCUUGUAAAAAUUGCUGAUGUUUUCCCUUGUAUCUUUGAGUUUCUUUUCCCUUCAAAUAUCUUGUCUCGUCGUUGGUCGAAUCCAUUCUAGAUGCGACUGAAAGCAUGACGUGUGGAGAAAGACAGGUCUGUCGUGGCCACCUAAUGUAGCAGCCUCGCCUGACUCAGCCUGCCUAAUAUUUCUUCGCUCUGGUUUUUUUCACUUUCUUGUUUUCUUGAUUUUUUGGUUCUGUUUAUUAAUUAGCUUUUGUCACCUGUUUCUUCCAUUUUUCAGUCAGAAACCAAUAGUACAACUCAAAUUGUCAAGAUUUUUGUUUAAUCCUUUAGACUCGAUUUAUCCUGCUUCAGUUUGGUUUGCCUGCCCUUUCAGCAUUCAUUUCGAGAAAACGCAAUAGACUAUUGCGUUUCAUUGCAUUGAAAAGGUAGAGUUUAAAUUUACAAGCCUCCUAGGAAGCCACCAGCGAGCCAAAAGAAGAAGGAAAACAAAUCAGUGUACAUCCCAGGUUGUUGGCCAAACAUCCCUUAGGCCCUUGGCCCCAGCGGUAGCCCACAGCCUGGCCUCAUCCUUGAUCUUGUGAAGCAAGUUUUGCACAGAAGGUGUCGCCCUAUCGAAGACGCACUUAAAUUAUGAGUACAUAUCCUGACUUAGUGUGAUUAAAUCUCUUUGUUUUAUACCCUAAUAAUUCGUUGUAACUGGGAGCUGUGCCUUUUUCCAACAUCUCUUUGUUUUACCCUUUUUACAGAACUAUGACAUGCUGAUCGUUGAGGAUGGGAUGGUGUACCAGAAAUAAAUGGAAAUAUUGUGAAGAAGAGAUCUACGGGAACCCUGAGGGAACAUGAUUCUCUAUUUCUUAUCAUGAGAAACGAAAUGGCUUCAAUAGAUGCAGAACAAUCAUUGCAGCAGGUAGCAACGGUUGUACCAUGUUAUUUCUUCUGGGAGAUAAAUACUGCUGACUGUGGUUUAGAUCACCCUCUGUGGCUUUGCAUGACGAAGUUUUUCAAUUUGUAAAGUAAUGCCUUCAUAUAGUGAAAGAUGAUUGCUUAGCUUU